rnacentral:ncRNA from 2 species
ACCUUAUCAAGAGUGGUGGAGGGAAUGGGCCCUAUGAAACCCGGCAACCUGAAAUGUGUACUUACUUCAAUGGUGCUAAAUCCCACAGAAAUGUUGUUCUGAAAGAUGAGGU